rnacentral:lncRNA from 1 species
UCUAAUGCUUUCACUCUCGUCCUUCUCUCUGCCUCACACUCACAUGAACCCUAGCGCUCGCUGCCUCACACGAACCCUAACGCUCGCUGCCUCACACAAACCCUAGCGAUGUCUGCCUCACAUGAACCCUAGUGCUCGCUGCUUCCACACGAACCUAGCGCUCUCUGCCUCACACGAACCUUAGCGUUCGCUGCUUCCACACGAACCUAGUGCUCUCUGCCUCACACGAACCCUUGCGAUGUCUGCCUCACAUGAACCCUAACGCUCU